rnacentral:rRNA from 1 species
CCUACGGGUGGCAGCAGUGGGGGAUAUUGGACAAUGGGGGGAACCCUGAUCCAGCGACGCCGCGUGAGUGAAGAAGUAUUUCGGUAUGUAAAGCCCUGUUAGCAGGGAAGAAAACACUGACGGUACCUGACCAAGAAGCCUCGGCUAACUACGGGCAAGCAGCCGCGGUAAUACGGAGGGGGCAAGCGUGAUCCGGAUUUACUGGGUGUAAAGGGCGCGUAGACGGCUGUGCAAGGCUGGAGUGAAAGGCGGGGGCCCAACCCCCGGACUGCCUUGGAAACUGUAUGGCUGGAGUGCAGGAGAGGUAAGCGGAAUGCCGGGUGUAGCGGUGAAAUGCGUAGAUAUUAGGAGGAACACCAGUGGCGAAGGCGGCUUACUGGACUGUAACUGACGUUGAGGCUCGAAAGCGUGGGGAGCAAACAGGAUUAGAUACCCCUGUAGUC